rnacentral:rRNA from 1 species
UACGGAGGGUGCAAGCGUUAUCCGGAUUUAUUGGGUUUAAAGGGUCCGUAGGCGGACUAUUAAGUCAGUGGUGAAAGCCCGCAGCUCAACUGCGGAACCGCCAUUGAUACUGGUAGUCUUGAGUAUAAGUGAAGUUGGCGGAAUGUGUGGUGUAGCGGUGAAAUGCUUAGAUAUCACACAGAACACCGAUUGCGAAGGCAGCUGGCUAACUUGUAACUGACGCUGAGGGACGAAAGUGUGGGGAUCAAACAGGAUUAGAUACCCUGGUAGUCCACACCGUAAACGAUGAUUACUAGAUUUUGGCCGCAAGGUCAGAGUCCAAGCGAAAGUGUUUAGUAAUCCACCUGGGGAGUACGUCCGCAAGGAUGAA